UACGUAGGUCCCGAGCGUUGUCCGGAUUUAUUGGGCGUAAAGCGAGCGCAGGCGGUUUAAUAAGUCUGAAGUUAAAGGCAGUGGCUUAACCAUUGUUCGCUUUGGAAACUGUUAAACUUGAGUGCAGAAGGGGAGAGUUGAAUUCCAUGUGUAGCGGUGAAAUGCGUAGAUAUAUGGAGGAACACCGGUGGCGAAAGCGGCUCUCUGGUCUGUAACUGACGCUGAGGCUCGAAAGCGUGGGGAGCAAACAGG
rnacentral:rRNA from 1 species